GUGUCAGCCGCCGCGGGGGUAAUACGUAGGGUGCGAGCGUUAAUUGGAAUUACUGGGCGUAAAGCGUGCGCAGGCGGGUUUGUAAGACAGAUGUGAAAUCCCCGGGCUUAACCUGGGAACUGCAUUUGUGACUGCAAGGCUAGAGUACGGCAGAGGGGGGUAGAAUUCCACGUGUAGCAGUGAAAUGCGUAGAUAUGUGGAGGAAUACCGAUGGCGAAGGCAGCCCCCUGGGUCGAUACUGACGCUCAUGCACGAAAGCGUGGGUAGCAAACAGGAUUAGAGACCCUGGUAGACCACGCCG
rnacentral:rRNA from 1 species